rnacentral:tRNA from 1 species
GGGGCGUUAGCUCAGUCGGUUAGAGCAACGGACUCAUAAUCCGUCGGUCGCGGGUUCAAGCCCCGCACGCCCUA